UACGUAGGGUGCAAGCGUUGUCCGGAAUUAUUGGGCGUAAAGAGCUCGUAGGCGGUCUGUCACGUCGGCUGUGAAAACCCGAGGCUCAACCUCGGGCCUGCAGUCGAUACGGGCAGACUAGAGUGUGGUAGGGGAGAUCGGAAUUCCUGGUGUAGCGGUGGAAUGCGCAGAUAUCAGGAGGAACACCGGUGGCGAAGGCGGGUCUCUGGGCAGUAACUGACGCUGAGGAGCGAAAGCGUGGGGAGCGAACAGG
rnacentral:rRNA from 1 species